GCUACCAUUGUCACGGUUUCAGCCACACGAUAGGAACGAUAAGCAACCAACACAUCCGUUAUACAUGAAAAUUAUAUAUUAAUUAAUAAUAUUAUAUAAUAUUAAAUUUAAUAUUAUAUAAUAUUUAAAAAAUUAAUAUAAAUUAAUAGUUAGAAUGUUACUUGGGUGUAUUGUGUGUGCAGUGCGCAUAUUGUACACAUAAUGAGUGUUGUAUAGCAGUAUUUAUAUUGUAACCAUAUUUAAUACAAUAUGCGUAUACUUUCGGACAUACACUUUUGCUAUGGUGCGGCGGACGGUAAUGGCACAGAAGUGCGAAGUUUAUACACCGAAAAAUAUCCCAAUAGGACUAUACCCAGUGCAAAAAUAUUUUGCAGAAUAGACCAAUGACUGCGGGAUACCAGUACGUUAAAACCUGCGAAAUCUAGUGGACGAGUUCAGCAUGGCGAUUUGGAUCUGGGAAAAUACUGUACCGUAUCCAAGAAAAUUCAAGAAGAAAAAGAUCUUUGUAAAUGAAUGAGUCGGAAAAUUCAACGCAAUUCCAAUUUCCCCGUGAGGAUAUUAUUUACUGAUGAGACAACAUUUAAUAAAUGUGGAAUAACAAAUAUACGCAACGAACAUUUCUAAGCACGUGAAAAUCUACACGCAUUAAGUGAUUCAUGCAGGAUGGUGCACCGCCGCAUUCUACCAACGCAGUACAUGAGCACUUGACCAGUGGUUUUGGAAACAGGUGAAUCGAUCGAAGAGAACUAGUGCUUUGGCAUGCCCGAUCCCCAGAUUUAAAUCCUCUCGAGAGUCAGGUUUUGUUUACAAGAAAAUGGAGGACAUAUCGAAUAUGUAUUGUAAUUUGUUGUAUUUUUUGUGGACACUCGCGGCCGAAACAAUCGCGGUGCGUGUGUGAUUCUGCUGUAGAUACUCACUGUCGGGACAAUCACGGUGCGUGUUUGAUUUUGCUAUGGACACUUGCGGAGGCAAAGGAUUAGAGGACACAAUAAUCCUCUCUACUCGGAAAUUUCAUAGGGCCGUUUUCGAUAAGCUCUUAUAGAUAUCCACAAUCUUCUUCUCCAAGACUUAUACGAGGUAAGCAGCUGCCCAUGGCCAUGUGUCAUUCGGAUUGAGCAUCACUGUGCAUCCCGCUGUUUAGGCUGACCUCCUUUCGUUCGUGUACAGGGAGCUUCCAGAAUUGCCUCUUAAAUUAUUAAGAACCUGUAGCUGAACACUGCAUAUUUGAUAUGUAUUUUAAUCACGUCAGUUUUCCCUAAGUAUUUCAUUGAUACGGUAAUCCAGUUGUGGCGGCAUUCGACGACGGAACUUUCCGACAGCUUCGCAACACAAAGCGCUAUACCUUCAAAGCGUAAGGCCGACAUGCCUAAUGUACCAUCGAUAUCCCUACAGUUCUUUCGGCGAAUAUUCAGAAGAAUGCAUAUGCGGCAACGGUCGCGGGCAUCUAAUAAACGCGUGCGUAGUGGGGAUAUCAAGGGGCAACGAUAAGGCUAAUCACAUCGCUACCGGCCUUAUCAUCAACGUAGUCGAAGUACCAGUGUCCACCACACUUAACUCUACCACCGUUUAUAAGCGUAGGUAAAAUAUACAUGUUCGCCUUACUCAGAUCAGUAUCUGAGUUGCAUGAGUAAUCGGUUUCGAUGACGGUGGUCGUUAGCAAUAUUUCGCCAAGUAUCCCUGUUUUUGGCACGAGUCGCAGGUAAUGCGAGCUUUAAGAUACUGUCUUGAGAAGUGUUGUCGUCGUCCGCAAUUGUAGCAGAUGACAUUCCACGGCUGGAGUAUGUUCUGCGAAUCAUCGGCCUUCGGUAGCUUUAGAAUUGCCAUCGAUCAAAUGCGAUCGGAUGAUCAAGUGCCGCUGUCACGUCGGCAAUCGUACAGACUUUCUUUUUUUUUUUUAAUAAAAUUUGACAUUUCAAAUGUGGUCCGAGAGUUUACGGCAUACGGUAAACUUCACUCAAUCUUUUAGAGGAUAUCAGUAGUUUAAUUGUGAAGUAUUUAAAGACUACAGUUAUUCCGGAAAAUAAAAUAAAAUCAGAAAUACUGUUAGAAAUUUUAUUGACGACAAGUUCACUCUUUGAAGAAUAACACCAGAAGAAUAGUUUUCUGAGGAUUGGGGAUGGCUUUUGUGGCGGUACUCCACAAGCCAAAUACCACCACUCGACACGAACUAGUGUCGGACGAUGGCAGCACAGUGGUUAGCGCCUACUAACGAACUGUCCUAUUUUUGCGACCAGGCUUUCAGGACAGAAAUGGAAAUAUCGUACAUAAGCACAGCGCAAUAGCGGCUUAAAGUUAAGUUACAAAAGUAAUCUUAAAAAAAAAAAAAAAAUGUAAUAUUACAUGGCUAUGUCGUACCGUCGCGUAUCGGUACUUUUGCCUGAACCACCCCACAACCAAAAUUUAGCGUUUAUUAUGGAAAAUACAAAUAUGUAAACUGGUAAUAAUAAACAAAUAAAAAAAAAGUGGU